CUCUCUCUCUCUUUUUUUCUCACUCUCUGUCACUCUCUCGCUUUGCCCUCCUCCAAAAAGAGACCACUCUUGUCCUGCGCUGAGUGUUUUCAUUAGGAAAAGAGGCAAAACGCAGAGUGAAAAAGAGAGAGACAGAAAAGCAGUGACUGAGGAGGGAAAGAGAGAAAGAGAGUCACGAACAGCUAGAAGCCCACCACAAGUUUUAAGCUGGAUUUUGUAUCAGCUCUGAGUCAUGGCCCAGUGCUCCACCUGCAUCAGCCUCUUACUGCUCCUGAUUGGUCAGAUUUCUGCAGAGACUCAGUCUGAUCCAGCACGAAGAGACUCCAUCACAGCAACCUGCAAGGACCAAAACUCACUCAGCAACAGACUGGAUGCAGUGGAAAAGGUAACCCUCCCUCUCCAUUUCUGUCACAACAUGUAGAUCUCUGGUGAAAUUCUAACUGCCCUGAACAGUGUGAAGAUUUUACUGCAUUGCUGACAUUUUACUGCAGUCAGUCCCAGGGCAGGAUGAGGGAUCAGGUGUUGGCUGCAGGCCUUAAUUAUUUUUUCUCUGGGCAGCAACACUGACUGAUACCCUCAGGUCUCUAUCAGCAAUUAGUGGCUCUUAGCUAAAUUAAACUCUGUUAGAGCAACCAUGGGAAAACUCAGUGCCUG
rnacentral:lncRNA from 1 species